GAUGAACGCUGGCGGCGUGCCUAAUACAUGCAAGUCGAGCGAACGGACGAGAAGCUUGCUUCUCUGAUGUUAGCGGCGGACGGGUGAGUAACACGUGGAUAACCUACCUACAAGACUGGGAUAACUUCGGGAAACCGGAGCUAAUACCGGAUGAUAUUUUGAACCGCAUGGUUCAAAAGUGAAAGACGGUCUUGCUGUCACUUAUAGAUGGAUCCGCGCUGCAUUAGCUAGUUGGUAAGGUAACGGCUUACCAAGGCAACGAUGCAUAGCCGACCUGAGAGGGUGAUCGGCCACACUGGAACUGAGACACGGUCCAGACUCCUACGGGAGGCAGCAGUAGGGAAUCUUCCGCAAUGGGCGAAAGCCUGACGGAGCAACGCCGCGUGAGUGAUGAAGGUCUUCGGAUCGUAAAACUCUGUUAUUAGGGAAGAACAUAUGUGUAAGUAACUGUGCACAUCCUGACGGUACCUAAUCAGAAAGCCACGGCUAACUACGUG
rnacentral:rRNA from 1 species